GAUGAACGCUGGCGGCGUGCUUAACACAUGCAAGUCGAACGGAAAGGCUCCUGCUUGCAGGGGUACUCGAGUGGCGAACGGGUGAGUAACACGUGGGUGAUCUGCCCUGCACUUCGGGAUAAGCCUGGGAAACUGGGUCUAAUACCGGAUAGGACCACAUUUUGGAUGGUGUGGUGGAAAGUUUUUCGGUGUGGGAUGAGCUCGCGGCCUAUCAGCUUGUUGGUGGGGUAAUGGCCUACCAAGGCGUCGACGGGUAGCCGGCCUGAGAGGGUGUACGGCCACAUUGGGACUGAGAGACGGCCCAGACUCCUACGGGAGGCAGCAGUGGGGAAUAUUGCACAAUGGGCGCAAGCCUGAUGCAGCGACGCCGCGUGGGGGAUGACGGCCUUCGGGUUGUAAACUCCUUUCGCUAGGGACGAAGCGCAAGUGACGGUACCUGGAGAAGAAGCACCGGCUAACUACGU
rnacentral:rRNA from 1 species